UACGUAGGGGGCAAGCGUUGUCCGGAAUCAUUGGGCGUAAAGAGCGUGUAGGCGGCCCGAUAAGUCCGCUGUGGAAAGUCCCAGGGCUCAACCCUGGAAUGCCGGUGGAUACUGGUCGGGCUCGAGUCCGGAAGAGGAGUGUGGAAUUCCUGGUGUAGCGGUGAAAUGCGCAGAUAUCAGGAAGAACACCAAUGGCGAAGGCAGCUCUCUGGGACGGUACUGACACUGGAGACCGCGAAAGCGUGGGGAGCGAACAGG
rnacentral:rRNA from 1 species